GACGACGCUGGCGGCGUGGAUUAGGCAUGCAAGUCGAACGGUAUCAUCCUUCGGGGUGAGAGAGUGGCGAACUGGUGAGCAACACGUAGGUUAUCUACCCUCAAGACGGGACAACCCAGGGAAACUUGGGCUAAUACCGGAUGUGAGCAACUUUUAGUUGUUUGAAAGGUGGCGUAAGCUGUCGCUUGGGGAUGAGCCUGCGUCCUAUUAGUUAGUUGGUGAGGUAACGGCUCACCUAGGCAAUGAUAGGUAGGCGGCCUUAACGGGUGGUCGCCCACACUGGGAUUGAGAUACGGCCCAGACUCCUACGGGAGGCAGCAGUCGAGAAUAGUCUACAAUGGUCGGAAGACUGAUAGUGCGACGCCGCGUGAACGAUGAAUCCCUUCGGGGUGUAAAGUUCUUUUAUAUGUGAGCAGUGCUUCUUAUAUUAACAGUAUGGGGAGAGAGAUAUUAGCAUAUGAAUAAGCAACGGCUAACUCCGUG
rnacentral:rRNA from 1 species